AGAGCGAACGCUGGCGGCAGGCCUAACACAUGCAAGUCGAACGAACUCUUCGGAGUUAGUGGCGGACGGGUGAGUAACACGUGGGAACGUGCCUUUAGGUUCGGAAUAACUCAGGGAAACUUGUGCUAAUACCGAAUGUGCCCUUCGGGGGAAAGAUUUAUCGCCUUUAGAGCGGCCCGCGUCUGAUUAGCUUGUUGGUGGGGUAAUGGCCCACCAAGGCUACGAUCAGUAGCUGGUCUGAGAGGAUGACCAGCCACAUUGGGACUGAGACACGGCCCAAACUCCUACGGGAGCAGCAGUGGGGAAUCUGCGCAAGUGGGCGAAAGCCUGACGCAGCCAUGCCGCGUGUAUGAUGAAGGUCUUAGGAUUAGUAAAAUUACUUUCACCGGUGAAGAUAAUGACUGUAGCCGGAAGAAGACGCCCCGGAUAACUUCGUGCCAGCAGGCCGAC
rnacentral:rRNA from 1 species